UACGGAGGGGGCCAGCGUUGUUCGGAAUUAUUGGGCGUAAAGGGCGCGUAGGCGGCCAUUCAAGUCGGACGUGAAAUCCCUCGGCUCAACCGGGGAAUUGCGUCUGAUACUGUUUGGCUUGAGUCCUGGAGAGGGUAGUGGAAUUCCCAGUGUAGCGGUGAAAUGCGUAGAUACUGGGAGGAACACCGGUGGCGAAGGCGGCUACCUGGACAGCGACUGACGCUGAGGCGCGAAAGCUAGGGGAGCAAACAGG
rnacentral:rRNA from 1 species